rnacentral:rRNA from 1 species
AGUGAACGCUGGCGGUAGGCCUAACACAUGCAAGUCGAACGGCAGCACAGUAAGAGCUUGCUCUUACGGGUGGCGAGUGGCGGACGGGUGAGGAAUACAUCGGAAUCUACUUUUUCGUGGGGGAUAACGUAGGGAAACUUACGCUAAUACCGCAUACGACCUACGGGUGAAAGCAGGGGAUCUUCGGACCUUGCGCGAUUGAAUGAGCCGAUGUCGGAUUAGCUAGUUGGCGGGGUAAAGGCCCACCAAGGCGACGAUCCGUAGCUGGUCUGAGAGGAUGAUCAGCCACACUGGAAGUGAGACACGGUCCAGACUCCUACGGGAGGCAGCAGUGGGGAAUAUUGGACAAUGGGCGCAAGCCGGAUCCAGCCAUACCGCGUGGGUGAAGAAGGCCUUCGGGUUGUAAAGCCCUUUUGUUGGGAAAGAAAAGCAGCAGGUUAAUACCCCGCUGUUCUGACGGUACCCAAAGAAUAAGCACCGGCUAACUUCGUG